UCCCUGGUGGCUCAGUUGGUAAAGAAUCCACCUGCAAUGUGGGAGAUCUGGGUUUGAUUCCUGGGUUGGGAA
rnacentral:tRNA from 1 species